CGUGGCAUCUUAGUGGCGGACGGGUGAGUAACGCGUGGGUAACCUGCCUUAUACAGGGGGAUAACACUUAGAAAUAGGUGCUAAUACCGCAUAAGCGCACGGGGCUACAUGGCCCAGUGUGAAAAACUCCGGUGGUAUAAGAUGGACCCGCGUCUGCUUAGCUUGUUGGCGGGGUAACGGCCCACCAAGGCGACGAUCAGUAGCCGGCCUGAGAGGGUGGACGGCCACAUUGGGACUGAGACACGGCCCAAACUCCUACGGGAGGCAGCAG
rnacentral:rRNA from 1 species